CCUAAUUUUAAUAUAAUCAAGCAUGAAAUUUUUAUAUGAAAUACGUUUUUAAAAUGAUAUUUCAUCCCACAAAGACACCCUAAGUAUUUUACAAUGUUGUUUCACUUAUCCGAAAGAAGGUGGCCAGAAAAAUAACUGAAAAGAAAAAGUAACACCUUAGUUUCAUCUGUACCUUCCGGGUCAUAUCUGAGAACUUUGCUUCCUGACACAAACAAGUUUUUACUGCUGUCAGCACCCAAACCCUAAUUUAGCUGCGGAAGAGAAAAACUGCAUUGCCUUUUGCCUCCCUCAUGCAUCAUCGACACAGUUACCGGGGGGAUUCUAAUUCUAGAAAGCUUUAGGGCUGGUAAUGAUGCGUUCAAGGGAGCCUGGUUAUUAGUGUUGUAGUCUUACUGUUUGGUCGUUGCUGCUCCACCACAAAUCAGAUUGGAGUUUCAGAGGGAAAAGUAAAAUUCUGUUUUUGUCUUAUUUAAUUUUUUUUAUUUUUCAGCCUUUUGAAAUGACUCAUAUCUGUUGGGGAACUCAUUACGGCCAGGGAAACAUAAAAUAGGAAAUACUGAGAUGUCAUUUCUAACAGCGUGUGGGUUUUGUGAAUGUCGGAAGGAUUUAAGGAAGCACGGCUCUUCUGUUUAGUGUAAUAAGGCACUCUUUAAAAGAGAGAGAGAAAGAGAGGAGACUGGUCCCUAAUUGUUGGUGCGCCCUGGCUUUUUCUCCCGCAGCCCCGGGAGCCCCUCGAGGAUGCUGCGAGGUGGGCUUGGUGGGUGGUGCUGAGACCCGCGCUGUUGCCGCCGCCGGUCCUGCCGCUGCUGUUGUUGAUGCUGCUGCUGCUGCUUGCUGCUGCUGCAGAGUCACGUGGGAGUCCCCUUUAAGUUUCCAUAGAGAGGCCUCUCCGGUGUCACAUGAUGGACAUGAUAUAAUGAAACAACAUUGUGGAGCGGAGAGCAUUCGGGGAGCCCAGGGCUACAAAAACAAGUGAGUGAGAAGAGGUGGGAGGAAGAGAAACUACGCCACCUCCCCUGCAGACCAGCCCACACGCAGCAGCCGCCUCCGAGACGAGGAGGAGAGGGGUCCGUCGUGGGGGACGAGGGAUGGGGGAACGGGCAAAGGGUGGAGGGCAGGGGUCCUCAGCCCCGCAUCCUGAAAGUCCCCCUCCCCCAGGAGCGGGCAGACACCAACUUUCCUCUACUAGCCUCCUCCAGGACUGCACCUGUCUCCAAAGUCGCGAUAGUCAAAAAGGGGAAAUUCUAGAAGAGGAGCCGCCGCGAUACAUGCGCAUCUGUUUUUUUCCCCCGUUUGCACUUCGCUCACAUGGAAGAAAACAGAAGGAUUUUUAGCAGCGUGUCAGUUACCCGAAGGUAAGUUAUUUAUAGGAGGCAAAGCUGGUCCAACAGGACUUUGGGAGAAGAAUUUUCUUUCCUUCGCUUUAAGGAGACUUGCCAUGUAAUUUAAAGAAAAAGAGAAGAUGAUGUCGGGAAAAGGCAUCUUUUAGGCUCGGUUUCUCGGGUGGAUUUUUUUUUUGGGGGGGGGAUGUACAUGGGUAACACUUUCCCCUCCUCUGGCUUGUGCUGCCCUCCUCCCCCCUCUGCCCCUUCCCAUUCUUCAGCGCCCCUCGGUUUUCCCCUCCUUUUCCCCAGAGGGGUCCCGCAGCCCCAGGAGCCGAUUUGGGGAAGCCGGGAGAGGGAAGGUGGGAUUGGUGGCAUCCGAGAGGGAUUUCGAGGUGAUUUCGCCAUGUUUGGGUGGCUAAGAAGACUUUGGUGCCCCCCAUCCCCCCAGUUAGGUGGCUUGAUGCCACAUGGCUCCUCCGGAGCUGCUGCUGGGUUCAGAAAGUGGUGGCUUUUUUUUUUUCUUCAAUGUCCGCAUUCCAGCUAAUGUUGCGCAGAUAAAAUUCAAACUUGAGGUAAACAGAAGAGGAGGAGGAGGAGGAGGAGGAGGAGGGGAAGAGGGGGGAGGGAAGGGAGGAGAAGGCUGUUUCCAUUUCAGCUACCCACCUCUCCACCCCUCGGAGAACAACAUCCCAAACCUAGGGAUAACUAUUUCAUUUCUUUCCCCUCCCACCCCCACCCUCAACCUUUGCUGUCAACAAAAAUAAGGGGAGGGAGGGGGCGCGCGCGUCCGGGGGUGGCGCCUUCGCUCCCUCUUGGAAAACCUUCGCACCACAUCCCGGAGAUGCCUCCCUCAUUUUUGCUUCCUUUUUCCUCCUUUCCCGCUGGAGAGCACGAGGGUGCCUCGCCUGCCGAAGCCCCUUCGCACUUUGCCCGGGCAGCCGGGCUCUCUUUCAGCCGUCCCGGCGCGCAGGGGCGGGCGGAGGGCUCCGGGGCUGGAGUUUUGCAGCCCGGGGGGGCCACGCCAGCCGGCGGCAGCGCUUCGGAUGCUGAGCAGGUGUGCGGCGGCCGAGCCGAUUUCCUUUUAAAAAUAACUUUUUUUCACUUUUUCCCCGUGCCUUUUCUAUGUGCCAGGACGGUGUGGGAAGUUUGCGAAACCUUAAGGGACCAGGGACGGACCUUGUUCUCCUCGGGGCUGCCAAGUAUCCGGGAGAAGAGAGCCUCCUCCUCCUCUUUCCCAGCCCGCGGGGAUCGGAGCGAAGACUAGGUGGGUGGGUGUUCCAGGGCGGGGAUGGGAGGGCUGCUGACAGCUUGGAAGUCUUCCCUCCGGGUCCGCCUGCCUGCCCACUCCCGGCUUCUCCCACCGGCCUCCAUCCUUUACAAACGGACGGAGCCGGGGGCGAGAACGGAGAGCGCCCACUGCGCACACGCGGGCGGGGGUCCCAGCCCUCUUCAGGAGCGGUUGCGUCAGGGAGGAAGCGACGGACCCCUCGGAGGUGGGGAAGGACGCGCGUGGGGGGGAGCGGGCCAGAGGAACGGAGCCCGCUGGCCGGGGCCGCAUCCGGGGCCGGGCCGCUCCCACGCAGGACGGGGGUGCGCCGUGGGGGCGGAGGCGCGUCCCGGAGCCCCGGCCCCCGGCGGCGGUUUCCGGGCGCGGUCCCCGGGGGCAGACUCUGCCGCUUCCAUUCCCGGCAGGGAGAAAAGGACACGGGCGGAGCUUGAGCGUAAACAGGCUGUCAGCCGCCCGCGGCUCCCCGCCCCUGGCUGACGCGGGAGCUGGGUCCUGGAAGCGGAGCCGCCGCCGCCGCCGCGACCGGCGCUGCCGUCCCCCGGCGCGCGGCCGCGGCCCGGUCCCGCCGUCCCUUGGCGGCGGCGGCGGCGGCGGCGGCGGGCGUGCGGGCGGGCGCGGGCGCGUGCUCGCUCCCGCGCCGCCCUCCCUCCCUCCCUCCGGAGCGCGCCGCCGACGCCCGGCUCGGCCGGCCUCUGUUUUUGUUUUGAUGGGACCCGCGUGCAGCUGACGCGUGUCGAGUCACGUGUCUGCUGGGUGGGAGGGGAGGAAAAGAGGGCGCGUUGACGUCCGUAAGACCCUGCUCCUGGCGGGGGCGGGGCCGAAGGCGGGGGCGGGCCCGGAGGAAGAGGGUAGUUAGCGGUGGUCCCGGAGCUGCCCGCAUCCUCCGGCAGGAUAUGAAAAGAGGAUCAGAUGCUAUGACAGUAGGGAAGUUAGAAAGACACUAUAGUCAUCCUUUGAUUAAAUGGAAGCAGGCAGAGAACUGAUGCUAUGAUAUCUUAGCUACCAGCUGCUAAUGAGAAAUGAACCUCAAGGGACUGACGUCAGAGAUCAGAAACAUCUGGCUUGCUUAUUCAUGACCUGUCAGAAAAACGUAUUGUUGGAGCUGAGAUGGUUUGGUAGAUGCAAGCUUGGAAACAAGGAGUUUCUCUGUUCAUGAACUCAAGAAAUUGUGAGUAAUUAAGAAGAUGAAGAAUGUAUGUGGUGUACUUUGGAGAUCUAUCUACAGAUAAUAUACUUCUUAAACUGAAGAUACCAAUCUGCAUUUCUCAGGGAGAAAUUGGGGGAAAUGGAGUUACCUUCCAGGAAAAUCUGCCAAAGAGGAGUAAGGAGAGAGAGAAACUAAGACUUCUAGACUAUAUGAAAGAUUUAUACCUGCACAUGAGGAAUAUUUGAGAAAGAAAUCUCAAGACUUAGGUUACAAAACACCAUGGCCUCCAAAGGAGAGAUGACUGAUGGGCAAAAGAAGUACAUUACAACUGAGAAAAUUAUGAAGGAAGAACAGCAUAAAAAAUGUUCAAGUAUAAAGUAUAAGGAAAUAUUCAUGUGAAAAAAAAUAUAGUGGAUUGAGUGCAUUUUGCAGAUGAGAAAACCAUGGCUAAGAGAGAAGGGAAGCCAGAAUUACAAAAUUAAUAAGUCUCAAAACUGCCAUCUGGCCCUGGGCAAGCCACAUCCCUGGCCUCCAUUUCCUAAGUGAAAGAUUAGAUGUGGGGAAAAAAUUCUGCAAAGAAGAAUUUUCGUUCACUGGAAUCCAGUUAGAAUCAACUGAGAGAAGAGAUGACAUACAACGAACAGGGACAGGUGAAUGCAGAGAAGCUCCUGGAAGGGUUACCUGGAUUUUUUCAAGGCUAUGAGUUACACAAUCAAGCAGAAGAUUCUUUGAAGCUACAAGAAGAGGUCAAAGCAGCAUGUUCACAAGGUGCUGAUUUUCUGAUCUUCUGCCUCUGUGUCCUCUUGAGAGUCAUUGGGCAGCUUUUCCUAAUCUCUAGACUGCUCCUGCCACCCCAUGUAAGUAAAAGCUUGAUCCAUAAAUCAAUCAGUGAAUAAAAGUUUCAAGAUUUUUGUUCCUGACUGAUCCCUAGGAAGAAGGAAAGGUGAUUAGUAUGCUUUAACCUCUGGUCUAUACUCUGGGUUCCCUUAAGACAUAAUAAAUAAGGAAAAAUGGGAAUUUCUAGCAAACUCUUGUGUGACUAGUUAUCAAAUUGUGCAUCAGAGGAAUCUCUAACAACAACAUCCGCUUAAAAAUUCAGGGUUCAUACUUUAGGUUUAGGAUGGUCACAGUAUAAGAAGAAAAUAAGUUGGAGAUUUAAGUAUAUAAAGAUAGUUUUGUCAAUAUUAUUUAUUUUUUCUAACAUAUGCAAACAAUUUUUUUGCUUGAGAUGUUUUUUAUCUUAUUUUAUUUUUCCAAUUACACGUGAAAAUAAUUUUUAUCUUCAUUUUUUAUAAUUUUUAGUUCCAGUUUCUCUCCCACCAUACCUUUCCUCCCCUCACCCUCAUUGAAAAGGCAAGCAUUUUAAUAAAGGUUAUAAAUGUGCAAUCAUCCAAAACUCAUUUUCUUAUUAGUCAUUAAACAUUUUUAACAUGUAUUUUUUUAAUUGAAUUAAUUUUUCUCCCUUUUCUUCCCUUUCAUUGAGAAGGCAAGCAAUUUGAUGUAAAUUAUACAUUUAUCAUCAUGCUAAACAUUUCUGUAUUGGCUAUGUUGCCAAAAAAAACAGACAAAAAAAGAAUAAUAAAGUAAAAAAGAAGUAUGCUUCAGUUUGCAUUCAUAUGUCAUCAGUUCUUUCUCUGGAGGUGAAUAGUAUUUUUCAUCCUAAGUCCUUUGGAAUUGUCUUGGUUCAAAGUAUUACUGAGAAUAUAGCCAAGUCUUUCAUAUUUGAUCAUUGUACAAUGUUGCUGUUAUUGUGUACAAUGUUCUUCUGGUCUGCUAAUUUCCAGGACAGGUUAAGUCUAGGUUAUUCUGAAAGCAUCCUUCUUGUCACUUCUUAGAGCAUCAUAGUAUUCUUUCACAAUCAUAUACUACAACUUGUGUUCUAAGAAAUAAAUAUUAUACUUGUUCUUGUUUCCUUGGUCUUGAGCUCUUAUUAUUUUUUUUUGAUGUUUUCUUUUGCAACAUGGUUAAUAAAGAAAUGUUUUACAUGAAGAAAAAUAACAAAGUUUUAGAAAUCAGUUUGUCCAGUUAACAGGCCAACAAAAUCAAUAAAUUAAAUGGAUAACUAUCUACCAUAAAAAUCCAAAUUAACAAAAUAAUCAUAGAAAAAUUAAGCAAGUCAUAAAAGGACCCUCAAAGAAAAAAAUACCAAGACAGAUGGACUUGCAAAUGAAUCUUAUAAAAAAAAAUCCAAAGAGCAAUUAAUUAUAAUAUUACAUAAAUUAUUUACAAAAACAUAGAAAUUAGGAUUUUUACCAAACUCUUAGGUUACAAAUAUGGUUCCUCUGCCUAGACUAGGACAAGAUGAAACAGAAAAAGAAACUCAUACGCUGAUCAUUCCUAAUGAAUAUUUUUGCAAAACCACAACAUAUUUAGAAGAUUCUGUGCUAUGACCAAACACCUGAGCCUAGAAGUAGACAAAUUAUUGACCAAAAAAUUCAGCAUCCAGAAGAGAAAUGUAGAAAUCAGAAGGAGGAUCUAUGGAAAAGAUGUCUACCUUGUACAUAGUGUACAUCUACCAUCUGAUAGAAUUUUUGAGAUAGAGCAAUAUCUUAAUGAUAACAUAUAUUGAAUCACCUAUUCUGAAGUAGAUAAGGGAAAAAAGUGCCAAGUGGAAAACCACUAUUAUUGUAUGAACUUAUGCUAGUAGAGUUAAAAAGAAUUAUUUCAAUUGCAAAUCCUUUAUAAAAGAUAAUUGAUGUUAAGUGGUUAUUUGGAACUGGGGUGCUAGUCACAGGCAUCUAAUAAUUGAGGUAAUAAGACAAGUGGGGGUUUAAAACAAUGGCAUUAAAGAAUAGAUGCUCCACAUCUCUCAGAACCCUGAAAGGGAGUUGCAGAUAGCCAGGCUCUGGGAGAGUGAGCUAGAGUAUACUCACUAUGUUUGUGGGCUCAUUCAUAAUAAAAUCAGGGCCUCCAAAUUUGUAGAAUUUCCACCUGAGAUUUGUUUUGAGAUAGCAUUGUUUAUAAGAUUCUAGGUAGUCCCCCCCAAAAAAAAAAUUAUUUAUUUGAGGCAUUUUUUGCUGUGUUUCCUUUACAAAUCAGUUCCAUUGAGCAGGCUUUUAUAAAUGCUUACAUUUGUUGAUUCAUCGGAUAUUUAGUACUACGUCUUGCUGUAUUACUGAAUUCUUGAUAAGUUUUAAUAUUAAAACUAAUUUGAGAAGUAUGGAGUUUGUGUCACUAAAACAUUGAUUCCUCAUUGAGAAAUGUUCACUUUUUCCCUUUUGCAUUCAAUAGACCCAGAAUCCUUGCCUCAUUAUGAAGUUCUUAUUCCCUGAAAGAUCAUAGGGUCAGGUUUGCCUGUGUGCUUAGUAACACCAAGUAACCAAUUCUUCAUGUUUAGUGCAGGAAGGAAUGUUGCACUUUUAUAUGUGCAGACUUCUUGCUUAUUUAUUUAAAAAAUAAAAAAAUACAACUAUAGGCAGAUAAAAGAACAGAGUAGGAUAUACCAUUGAAACUAUGAAUGGGAAGAGUCCUUGACCCAGUUAGGAAAAGGGGAAUCCCUAGAGAUAAAAUGGACAAUUUCAUAACAUCCAAAACUUUUUACACCAGAAAAAAAUUAAUGAGAAUAGAAUUAGAAGGAAAAUAUCUAUGGAAAAUCUUUGCAGCAGAUUUUUCUUAUCUAAGAGAUGUAGAGUGCUGAUUCAAAUAUACCAAAAUAAGAACCAUUACCCAUCAGAUAAAUGGCCAAAGAAUACAAAACAGGUAGUUUUCAAAAUAAGAAUGCAGGCUAUCAACAGGAAUAUUUUAAAAUAAUCCAAAUCAUUGAUUCAGAGAAAUACAAAUUAAACCAUCCUGAGCUUUCCCUUCAAACUUAUCACAUUAACAGAGUUGACACCUCACCAAAAAAAGGGGAAAUAGCAAUUACAGGAGCUUUGGGGGAGGAGGCACAUUAAUAUACUGCUAGUGGGCUUAAAUUAUU
ensembl:lncRNA